AGCCAAAACCAAUGGCAAUAGACUUUGUUGCUGGCCGGGCUUUCUUGCUCUUCCACCAAUCGUUUUAAGAUUUGACUCGGGAGUGACAUCUUGCUAGCCCAAUGACGCACUACCCACCCACACUCAGCACUUCGGAGGGGAUAAAUCAAGGAGCCCGCACCUAUAGAUUCCGUUAUUAGUCAGUACUGGAUGAAGAGACGAGGAGGAGAGAAACAGCGCGAGGGAGAGGCACUAAUGAUCUAAAAAAAGAAAAAAGAUGACGACUGCGCCAAGCCAGCUCGGCCGCCAUCAUGCUCUAGUUUCCCCUGCGCCUCGCUCGGCCUGCGACCGAGGAAGCGGCCUCUGGGAUGCUGAGGGGGUGUGUCCCAGAGUGAUUGGCGCAGGCAGCUCAGCCAGUCAUAGCGCGUCAAACGGAAGCAGUUAACCAAUGAGGGGCGACUGCAGCGGCGAGGCAUUGGAGGGGCGGAACUGCAGCUUGACGGGCACAAAAAACAGCCAGUGAGAGCUAAAAGCCUCCUCCCUCUGACCAAUGGAGUGGAGGUCUGGGCGGGCCCCCGAGUGUUUGUGUUGUGGUUUUGGGGGAGGGAGGCGGAGGGGAAAGUUUGUUUAUUUUGUUUUUAGUUUCUGGGGUCCCCGUGUUUCUGGGAGGUGAAGCGGGAGGGAGUGACCCCCGCACCCCUCAGUCUCCCUACCACGUCGCCUCCAGAGUCUGCCGAGAAGCGGGGUCCGCCCGCCUCGCAGCGCCUCACAGCGGAACGCCGGGCACUCGGAGCCGGCAGCGGCUCGGCGGGUUUUGGUUUUUUGCACUGAAUGUAGCCUAGACUCAUCUUCACGGGCUUGUGUUGCCCCAGGAUACUGUCACAGGCAGUAUUUGUGUGUUUCUGCGGAGUUUUGCACAGUCUACUCCCAUGCAAACCAAUGAGGGAGAAAUAUCGGAAGAAAGCAGCUCCAAGGCGAAAGAUUUGAACAAACACUUCAGAGAAUCGAUGACAAAGAGGCUUGUGAAAAGAUGCUCAACACGAGUGCAAGUAAAACCACAAUGAGAUAAACGAUCCUCAACACGAGUGCAAGUAAAACCACCAUGAGAUGAACCUAUCAGAGAUACUCAUCUAGUAGAAUGGCUAAAAUUAAAAAGACUUACCGUACCAAGUAUUGAUGAGGGUGUGGGAUAACCGGAACUCUCAUACAUUGCUGGUAGGGAUGUAAAAUGCUUCAACCACUAUGAAAACAUUUGGACUGUUUCUUAAAAAGGUGGAACAGGAGGAUUUUGUAAUGGAAGGGCAUGGCAAGACUCCACCUCCUGGCGAAGAAAGCAAACAGUGAGUCACAGUUUAUUUAAAAAGAGUUCUAUUACAGAUUGUCUGAAGCACUUUGGUUAAACAUACUGAGAGCCUGUUUGCAUGAGACAUACACAUUGGGGAUGUUGAGGGUCUCACCAGUUGCUUCGGUGGCUGUUACUACAUUGCUUCCAUCUGUAAACCAACUAACUAGAGGGGCAAGAAAGUUGGCUUUGUAGUUUUGCACACUUGAGUAAUCAAAACUGAUGUUACACUUUAGUAAAAGGUUUAAGGCUCAGGAUGUUACAAAUUGAACUGAGUUUCGUUGAUUUCCAAAAAAGAAUGUAUAAAAUAGCACAUCCUUUUCUUAGCAAUACCUUUAUGAAGUGAACUAAAUUAAUAGACUGGUUCUCCGCAUUCCGAGUGUGAAUUUAUUUGAAUAGUGCUUCCUGAAAUUCUAUUCCAUUUAGUUAUUUGUACUUCUCAUCUUUGUUUAAAUAACAAAUUGUUUCCCUAAAGGAACAAGAAUUAUAAAUAAUACAACUUAGCCAACAUUUUAAAUAAUUUAAGAUAUCUCCCGUGACUUCUUAAAGGGUGAUUGGUUUUAAAAUGGAAAUUGGGAGUCGGCUGGGUAGUUUUUUGAUGGUAGUGAGUAGACUUUUUCCUCUGUCUGUCACAGAAUUUGAAAAAUGGUGUUGCAGAGCAGACUGGUUUUUCAUAUGUCCUUUUAAAGGAAUAACAGUUAAGACUGAUUUAAAGUACUGACACAACGACUGUUUUUUAUUCGACAGUAGUUUUUUAAGUUGAAUGGGGCAGUGAUUCAUGGAAUUUACUGAAAAUCUGAAGAGAAAAACUUCUUUCCCUCGUCUUUUUUUGUUUUUCCCCUGAAAAAUAGUUUAGUUUUGGUCUGUCUUAUGAAAAUUAUGUCUUCCAAACCCUUAGGAAUGAAUUGUGCAGAAUGGUCUAUGCCUCCAGGAGGCCAGAUUCAUUAAAGGAGAAUAGUGUGUCUUGUUUUUGUUGUGAAUGGAAACCAGGAUAUUUUCACAGUUGGUUUAAUUUGCUAACCAGGCAGUUUUAAAAAUAGCUUACAAUAUAAAUCCUAACUUUGCUGUAUUCUGUCAAACGCACUUAUAUUCUGCAUGGUCUAACAGAAUCAAUUCAUUUUCAGCAAAUUAGAAUGCCAAACAUCUAGUCUCAGUGAAAUUACAGCAGAAACACUUCGGCCUGCCCCCUACCCACUUCUGUCUAUUCCCACCCCAACUCUGGUCAAAGGUCUUAUAAUAUAAAAAUCAUAGCUCCCAUUUGUCAAAAGUCUUUUCUGCCCAAGGUACUUUGCUUAGAUACUUGGUAUAUGUUAUUUCCACUUGUUGUGUGUAUUGUCAUCAUUUCACUCAGGGAUCAAGUUUGGUAACUUGUCGGUGGUAAUGCCGCGUAAUGGCAGUAAAGAUUUGAACCUGGACCUUUCUGACUUAAAGUGUUUUAUUACAUCAUGGCCUUGAACCCGUAUCUUUUGCCAACCUUGGGCAUUAUGUUCCUGGAAAGUACUGUGGUCAACAAAAGUGCAGUUGUCAAGAUCAAAGUCUCAGGGAUAAGAGGGAGUUGGGGGGAAACAAUGAAAAUGGCAUUAAGUCCAUUUUUAAAACACAGAUGCAACUAGAAGGUAUCCGUUUCCCAAACAAACCAGUCUUUAUAAAAACCUGCUCUAGUAGGUAACCCCUAUCCUGAAUCAGCUUCUUUAGGUAUUCAGGAGACAUUGCUGGGGCAGAUUUUCCCACAAGUUUUGUAUUAUACAAACUGUGCUUCUUUUACAGAGUCUUAGACAGCCUCAGUGGACUUGAAGUGUCGUGUGUUGUAGCCUUUACCGUUCGUUCUCCCGUGUUUUGUUUCAUGAGUCUCACGCUGCCUAGCCUUGUCACAGAUUGAUUCUGGCUUUUUUGUUUGUUUUUUCUGAGCCUGCUCUGCUAUCAUAUAUUGAAACAAUGAUGCAGAAAGUUAUCUUUUCACUAGGCCUGAACUACGCCCAUAGACCUGCCCACCUCUUCCGAGCAAGCGGGGAGCCUAAGUGCUGUGUUCUUUUGUUAAUGACAACAGCAGUAAAAAGGUUAAAAAAUUAUCUUCUUUAUAUCACAGAAUUGCAGUUGUCAAAGGAUUAUUACUGUACUUUUAUAAACAUGAUUGCGUCUUGGAUAGUGGGAUCUGAACGGAAUACAACACGCUUGGAUCCUAGAAGUGACCCGUUGCUAAUUGACUUACAAAAUUCCCAUCCCUGCUUUCAUUUUUUUAAUUAUAAAAGUAAUACAUGCUUGUUGUAAAAACAUUCAGAUAGUAACUAUGGAUAUGAAAGUGAGAUUGCUCUUUUAUCUUCCUUCUCCUCCUAAUCUUCCUGAACAUUUUCUGUAUAUUUUGAAACAACAACUAAAUAGAUUUUUUUCCCCAACAUAAUUCUUCUGAGACUUGCUCUUUUCAUUGGACAACUUUCGCAGUCUAUCCCAUUCUUUUAAACAUCUGCAGCUGUACCAUAAUUUAAUCAUUCUUCUCUAAUAGGUAUUUUUGUGGUUUUCGUUUUAUUACAAAUAAUAUCUUAUUGAACAUCCUUAUUCUUGUAUCUUUAUACAUAGGUGUACUUCUGUACAACAGAUUUCUAAAUAUGGAGCUGUUUGGUUAAAGGGCAUGCGUAUUUUACAUUGAGGUAACUGCUAUCUCAUUGCCUUCCAGAAAAGCAAUGCCAGUCAAUGUUCACUCCUAUCAGCACUGUGUGGGCCGGCCCAUUUCCCCACACCUUUGACUGCAGUAAAAUAUGUAAUCUUUAAACUUUGUCACUCUGAAAUUUUAUUGUCUUAAUGUGCACUUUUCUGCUUACUAAUGAGAUGGAAUAUUGUUUGUUAGUUUAAUGGCCGUUUAUUUUUAUUUGUGUAUCACCUAUUUAUGUAUUGUUCCUUUAUUUCCAUCAGAUUGUUUUUAUAGCUUUGUAGGAGCCCUUUGUAUAUUGUAGAUACUAACCUUUGUCUAUUGAGAUGUUUGAAAUAUUUUCUCCCAGUCCUUAUCUUUUAACACUGCAGUAUCAUUCAUUCUAAUAAACCUUUUAAAUUUUUAUGUAGUACAGUCUGUCAGUCUUUAUCGGCUUUCAUAUUUUGUGCUUCCUUAGAGAAGUCUUCCCUACCCUAACGUGACUGAAAUAGUGUCUUAGUCGUCUAGUGCUGCUGUAACAGAAAUACUACAAGUGGAUGGCUUUAACAAAGAGAAAUUUAUUCUGUCACAGUCUACGAGGCUAGAAGUCUGAAUUCAGGGGGCCAGCUCCAGGGGAACGUCUUCUGUCUCUAUUGGCUCUGGGGGAAGGUCCUUUUUAUCAGUUUUCCCUGGUGAAGGAGCUUCUCCGCCUAGGGACCCCGGGUCCAAAGGAUGAGCUAUUCUCCUGGCACUAGUUUCUUGAUGAUAUGAGGUCCCCCAUCUCUUUGCUCUCUUCUC